AGAGCGAACGCUGGCGGCAGGCUUAACACAUGCAAGUCGAGCGGGCGUAGCAAUACGUCAGCGGCAGACGGGUGAGUAACGCGUGGGAACAUACCUUUUGGUUCGGAACAACACAGGGAAACUUGUGCUAAUACCGGAUAAGCCCUUACGGGGAAAGAUUUAUCGCCGAAAGAUUGGCCCGCGUCUGAUUAGCUAGUUGGUGAGGUAACGGCUCACCAAGGCGACGAUCAGUAGCUGGUCUGAGAGGAUGAUCAGCCACAUUGGGACUGAGACACGGCCCAAACUCCUACGGGAGGCAGCAGUGGGGAAUAUUGGACAAUGGGCGCAAGCCUGAUCCAGCCAUGCCGCGUGAGUGAUGAAGGCCCUAGGGUGUAAAGCUCUUUUGUGCGGGAAGAUAAUGACGGUACCGCAAGAAUAAGCCCCGGCUAACUCCGCGCCAGCAGCCGC
rnacentral:rRNA from 1 species